rnacentral:rRNA from 1 species
AAAGAUUUAGUCCCAACCUUACUGUUAAUUCUUACCAGACACAUACAUGCAAGCAUCCACACCCCGGUGUAAAUGCCCCUCUACCCUACCCUCAGGGUGGAGGGAGCGGGCAUCAGGCACACACCCCCGUAGCCCAAGACGCCUUGCGCCAGCCACACCCCCACGGGUACACAGCAGUAGUUAAUAUUAAGCAAUGAGCGUAAGCUUGACUUAGUUAUGGUAACACCCUCCCUCAGGGCCGGUAAAUCUUGUGCCAGCCACCGCGGUCACACAAGAGACCCAAAUUAACCGUACACGGCGUAAAGAGUGGGACCACAGUAUCCCCCAAACUAGGAUUAAAAUGCAACCUAAGCCGUUAUAAGCCAAAGAUGUACUAAAAACCACCCUUAAAACGAUCCUAGCCCUAUUAAGAUAAAUUGCCCCCCACGAAAGCCAGGACUCAAACUGGGAUUAGAUACCCCACUAUGCCUGGCCCUAAAUCCCAAUGCUCGCCACCACUUGAACAUUCGCCAGGGUAUUACGAGCACAAACGCUUAAAACCCUAAGGACUUGGCGGUGCCCCAAACCCACCUAGAGGAGCCUGUCCUAUAAUCGAUAACCCACGAUACACCCAACCACCCCUUGUCAAACAGCCUACAUACCGCCGUCGCCAGCCCACCUCUUGAGAGUGUAACAGUGAGCAUAAUAGCCCCAACCCGCUAAGAAGACAGGUCAAGGUAUAGCCCAUGGGGUGGAAGAGAUGGGCUACAUUCUCUGUCAACAGAAAAUCACGAAAAAGGGUAUGAAACCCUACCCUUGGAAGGCGGAUUUAGCAGUAAAGACGGGGCCAUAACACCCCCUUUAAGAUGGCCCUGGGACACGUACAUACCGCCCGUCACCCUCCUCACAAGCCACCGCCUACAGAAACUAUACCACCAUCCAGGCCAAAGACGAGGUAAGUCGUAACAAGGUAAGUGUACCGGAAGGUGCACUUAGCAUAU